rnacentral:lncRNA from 1 species
GUUUGGGUGAAGACGGAGGCGGGUUCUGGACAGACCUACGCUGUCGGGGAGUGUUUACUUCGCCUCCACUUCUGUUCCUCCCCGCCCUGGUGCUGCUCCAGGUCACAUACUCUUCCUGAGCCGGCUUCAGCCUCUCCGCGCAGAAGUCUCCCGGAGCCAUGGCCUAGUAUUCUUAUGUGAAGUCUACCAAGCUUGUGCUCAAGGGAACCGAGGUGAAGAGCUGGGUCCUGCAGCUCCGGCGGGAGCCUCCUCAGUUCUUUUCGGACGCACUCCACCCCCGCGAAUCCGGUGGAAGCCGUGAUGCGGAGAGCCGGCUUCGUGGCCUCCCAGGCUUCGCUCUGACCCUGUCUGGGCUGGAUGGAGGCCGGACCGCCCUUCCUGGCGCCUGUGCAGAGAGGGGCAGCCUCCUGCGCGGACGACCCUGGAAACAGGAUAGACGGGCGGGUGACCCGUGACCCCGUACCCACGAGUUUGGGUCCCUUGAGGCAUCUCUCCAGGCCUCUGCCUGAUUUGCCUGAGGUUGACUGUACAUGCAAAUAUUGAGCUUUCCUCCUGGCCUCCGUGAUAAACAGAAGUUUUGAUAUUGUUAGGCGAGAUGGAAAGAAAGUAUCAAGGAGUGAGCUGAAGCCACUGCCCUUGAGAACCCUCUCGAGGAGUCUGGCCUCAUGAAGAUGCCAGAAUAAAUGGCAGUAAGAAGAAAAAGAGCAAAGAUAAGAAGAGAAAAAGAGAAGAUGAAGAAACCCAGCUUGAUAUGUUGAGGAACGCAGCUGCUCACCAGCAACGGAACAAAGCUGGACGGAGAAUGACUUUGAAGAGCUGAGAGAAGGCUUCAGACGAUCAAAUUACUCUGAGCUACGGGAGGACAUUCAAACCAAAGGCAAAGAAGUUGAAAACUUUGAAAAAAAUAAAUGUACAUUAAUUAACGUGAAUCGCCCUGAAACCUGGCUAUGGAAAAUAUCUUAGUAUAAAUUCAGAUGAACUUGUUGUUGGCGUUCAGAUGCAAUUGGACCAAGAGAACAAUGGGAACCAGUCUUUCAAAAUCAAGAGGUCAGAAAUGGUGGGCCAGCUGAGAUGGGAGAAGAAAAGAGAAAUGGCACAAAGUGGAGAGAAGACACCGACCAUACCUCCUUUCCUCUCUUUCCCACCACAGGUGGACAGCCCAAAGCACACUCCAACUGGAGGAAGGUUUGCCAUUAAAGAUAAGGUGGAGUUUUGAUUAUUA